rnacentral:rRNA from 1 species
GAUGAACGCUGGCGGCGUGCCUAAUACAUGCAAGUCGAGCGAACAGACGAGGAGCUUGCUCCUCUGACGUUAGCGGCGGACGGGUGAGUAACACGUGGAUAACCUACCUAUAAGACUGGGAUAACUUCGGGAAACCGGAGCUAAUACCGGAUAAUAUAUUGAACCGCAUGGUUCAAUAGUGAAAGACGGUUUUGCUGUCACUUAUAGAUGUAUCCGCGCCGCAUUAGCUAGUUGGUAAGGUAACGGCUUACCAAGGCAGCGAUGCGUAGCCGACCUGAGAGGGUGAUCGGCCACACUGGAACUGAGACACGGUCCAGACUCCUACGGGAGGCAGCAGUGGGGAAUCUUCCGCAAUGGGCGAAAGCCUGACGGAGCAACGCCGCGUGAGUGAUGAAGGUCUUCGGAUCGUAAAACUCUGUUAUUAGGGAAGAACAAAUGUGUAAGUAACUAUGCACGUCUUGACGGUACCUAAUCAGAAAGCCACGGCUAACUACGUG